ensembl:lncRNA
CAAGACUAGGUUUGGGGUUAGUAUUUGUAUCCGACUCAUUUUCGGGAACCAAUACGAUGCUGGAGUUUGGCUCCUCCCUGGCUUUCUUUUUGACUCAAGGUUUGCUCAGACUGACAUGUGAGCCCGGGAGAGCAGGAGGAGGAAGAGGGAGUCUUUGUCAGUCUUUCCAAGACGAGCUCUUGGGCUCCUCUGGCUGGCUUGACUCUGGCUCCGCUCUGACAAGACUCCCAGCUGCAGCGUAGCCAAGAUGUCAGCUUGAAGGCCAAUCAACCCAACCCCAGCCCGGAGAGAGACGAGGGCUCAGGUCCAACUCACACGUGGACUCUCCUUAGAGGUGUAAGAACAGCGAUUAUUCACCACAAACUGGCAGAAGCUUUUUUUUCCUUUAACGAGUCCGACGAGCCCGGCGUGAACGACAUACUG